UACAGAGGUCUCAAGCGUUGUUCGGAUUCAUUGGGCGUAAAGGGUGCGUAGGCGGCGCGGUAAGUCGGGUGUGAAAUCUCGGAGCUCAACUCCGAGCCUGCGUUCGAUACUGGAUGGCUAGAGUCUGGUAGGGGGAUCUGGAAUUCCUGGUGUAGCGGUGGAAUGCGCAGAUAUCAGGAGGAACACCGGUGGCGAAGGCGGGAUCCUGGGCCAGUACUGACGCUGAGGAGCGAAAGCGUGGGGAGCGAACAGG
rnacentral:rRNA from 1 species